GUAUAAGAGACAGCAGUCGCCGCGGUAAUACGGAGGGUGCAAGCGUUAUCCGGAUUUAUUGGGUUUAAAGGGUCCGUAGGCGGAUCUGUAAGUCAGUGGUGAAAUCUCACAGCUUAACUGUAAAACUGCCAUUGAUACUGCAGGUCUUGAGUAAAUUUGAAGUGGCUGGAAUAAGUAGUGUAGCGGUGAAAUGCAUAGAUAUUACUUAGAACACCAAUUGCGAAGGCAGGUCACUAAGAUUUAACUGACGCUGAUGGACGAAAGCGUGGGGAGCGAACAGGAUUAGAUACCCCUGUAGUCCCUGUCUCUUAUAC
rnacentral:rRNA from 1 species